rnacentral:rRNA from 1 species
CCUACGGGCGGCAGCAGUGAGGAAUAUUGGUCAAUGGGCGCGAGCCUGAACCAGCCAAGUCGCGUGAGGGAUGAAGGAUCUAUGUUUCGUAAACUUCUUUUAUCGGGGAAUAAAGUCCGGGACGCGUCCCCCUUUGCGUGUACCCGAAGAAUAAGGAUCGGCUAACUCCGUGCCAGCAGCCGCGGUAAUACGGAGGAUCCGAGCGUUAUCCGGAUUUAUUGGGUUUAAAGGGUGCGCAGGCGGCCGGUUAAGUCAGCGGUGAAAGUCCGUGGCUCAACCCCGGCAUGGCCGUUGAAACUGGUGGGCUUGAGUGGGUGAGAGGAAGGCGGAAUGCGGGGUGUAGCGGUGAAAUGCAUAGAUAUCACGCAGAACUCCGAUUGCGAAGGCAGCAUGCCGGGUCCAGACUGACGCUGAGGCACGAAAGCGUGGGGAUCGAACAGGAUUAGAUACCCGUGUAGUC